rnacentral:rRNA from 1 species
UGGGGAAUAUUGGACAAUGGGCGAAAGCCUGAUCCAGCCAUGCCGCGUGUGUGAAGAAGGCCCUCGGGUUGUAAAGCACUUUCAGCGAGGAAGAACGCCUAGGGGUUAAUACCCCCUAGGAAAGACAUCACUCGCAGAAGAAGCACCGGCUAACUCCGUGCCAGCAGCCGCGGUAAUACGGAGGGUGCAAGCGUUAAUCGGAAUUACUGGGCGUAAAGCGCGCGUAGGUGGCUUGAUAAGCCGGUUGUGAAAGCCCCGGGCUCAACCUGGGAGCGGCAUCCGGAACUGUCAAGCUAGAGUGCAGGAGAGGAAGGUAGAAUUCCCGGUGUAGCGGUGAAAUGCGUAGAGAUCGGGAGGAAUACCAGUGGCGAAGGCGGCCUUCUGGACUGACACUGACACUGAGGUGCGAAAGCGUGGGUAGCAAACA